GUUCAGCGUCGGAAAAAAAAAAAAAAAAAAAAAAGAGGAAGUUGCCAGUUAUUCAGAAGAAAUCCCUUAUCCAGGUUCUGCGUUGGCAAGGAGCUAGGUCACAGUCACCAUCAUCUUAAGCCAUUUUACUAAGGCUGAGUCCAGGGUACCGGACCACUAAAAGGCCUUCAGCUGCUGAAGAGAUAAUGAGCUUCCCAAAGCCUCAGCAAGAUGGUGGCCCAACCCUGCCCAGACUGGAAGAACCAUUCUGGCUGCUGAGAACAGCGUAAGAACCUGC